rnacentral:rRNA from 1 species
UACAUGGGGUGCAAACGUUGCUCGGAAUUAUUGGGCGUAAAGGGCGCGUAGGCGGCCUGACAAGUGGAAGGUGAAAUCCCUCGGCUUAACCGAGGAACUGCCCUCCAAACUGUCUGGCUUGAGACCGGGAGAGGUGAGUGGAAUUCCCAGUGUAGCGGUGAAAUGCGUAGAUAUUGGGAGGAACACCAGUGGCGAAGGCGGCUCACUGGACCGGUACUGACGCUGAGGCGCGAAAGCGUGGGGAGCAAACGGGG